GACGAACGCUGGCGGCGUGCUUAACACAUGCAAGUCGAACGGAAAGGCCCUGCUUUUGUGGGGUGCUCGAGUGGCGAACGGGUGAGUAACACGUGAGUAACCUGCCCUUGACUUUGGGAUAACUUCAGGAAACUGGGGCUAAUACCGGAUAGGAGCUCCUGCUGCAUGGUGGGGGUUGGAAAGUUUCGGCGGUUGGGGAUGGACUCGCGGCUUAUCAGCUUGUUGGUGGGGUAGUGGCUUACCAAGGCUUUGACGGGUAGCCGGCCUGAGAGGGUGACCGGCCACAUUGGGACUGAGAUACGGCCCAGACUCCUACGGGAGGCAGCAGUGGGGAAUAUUGCACAAUGGGCGGAAGCCUGAUGCAGCAACGCCGCGUGCGGGAUGACGGCCUUCGGGUUGUAAACCGCCUUCGCCUGUGACGAAGCGUGAGUGACGGUAAUGGGUAAAGAAGCACCGGCUAACUACGUGCCAGCAGCCGCGGUGAUACGUAGGGUGCGAGCGUUGUCCGGAUUUAUUGGGCGUAAAGGGCUCGUAGGUGGUUGAUCGCGUCGGAAGUGUAAUCUUGGGGCUUAACCCUGAGCGUGCUUUCGAUACGGGUUGACUUGAGGAAGGUAGGGGAGAAUGGAAUUCCUGGUGGAGCGGUGGAAUGCGCAGAUAUCAGGAGGAACACCAGUGGCGAAGGCGGUUCUCUGGGCCUUUCCUGACGCUGAGGAGCGAAAGCGUGGGGAGCGAACAGGCCUAGAUACCCUGGUAGUCCACGCUGUAAACGGUGGGUACUAGGUGUGGGGUCCAUUCCACGGGUUCCGUGCCGUAGCUAACGCUUUAAGUACCCCGCCUGGGGAGUACGGCCGCAAGGCUAAAACUCAAAGGAAUUGACGGGGCCCCGCACAAGCGGCGGAGCAUGCGGAUUAAUUCGAUGCAACGCGUAGAACCUUACCUGGGUUUGACAUGGAUCGGGAGUGCUCAGAGAUGGGUGUGCCUCUUUUGGGGUCGGUUCACAGGUGGUGCAUGGCUGUCGUCAGCUCGUGUCGUGAGAUGUUGGGUUAAGUCCCGCAACGAGCGCAACCCUUGUUCACUGUUGCCAGCACGUUAUGGUGGGGACUCAGUGGAGACCGCCGGGGUCAACUCGGAGGAAGGUGGGGAUGACGUCAAGUCAUCAUGCCCCUUAUGUCCAGGGCUUCACGCAUGCUACAAUGGCUGGUACAGAGAGUGGCGAGCCUGUGAGGGUGAGCGAAUCUCGGAAAGCCGGUCUCAGUUCGGAUUGGGGUCUGCAACUCGACCUCAUGAAGUCGGAGUCGCUAGUAAUCGCAGAUCAGCAACGCUGCGGUGAAAACGUUCCCGGG
rnacentral:rRNA from 1 species